CCAGCUUGCAAUAAAUGACUCUUUGCUGUUUGCAUUGAUCAUGGUCUCUGGUGGACUGAGAGGGGGCGUCCGAAAUCUGAGCACUUUAUGUGGGAGCUUGUCCAGGAUAGCCCCCCCAUAAGCCACACAGAUACCUGAUCAGCGAGUCAUCCAGCUAGCCGGUGGGAUUCAAAAGAUCCGUUGAUGAAUUGCCUUGCUAAACAAGCGAGCCCUGGGAAAAUGAAGCUUAACAAAGGUCCGAGGUUGAAAUAUGAGCCCAGGCCCUAUGUCUGAUCUCCUCUUGCACAAGAGUAGUCCUCUGCCCUUGAGCCACAGCCCCAACCCAUGGGGAUAUUUUCCUGUGAUCUCUUAUA